UACGGAGGGGGCAAGCGUUAUUCGGAAUUAUUGGGCGUAAAGGGCGUGUAGGCGGCCUCGUAUGUCCCAUGUGAAAGCCCUCGGCUCAACCGAGGAACUGCAUGGGAAACGGCAAGGCUUGAGUCCGGGAGAGGAGAGUGGAAUUCCCAGUGUAGCGGUGAAAUGCGUAGAUAUUGGGAGGAACACCAGUGGCGAAGGCGGCUCUCUGGACCGGUACUGACGCUGAAACGCGAAAGCCAGGGGAGCAAACGGG
rnacentral:rRNA from 1 species